UACAGAGGUCUCAAGCGUUGUUCGGAUUCAUUGGGCGUAAAGGGCGCGUAGGCUGCGGGGCAAGUCGGGUGUGAAAUCUCAGAGCUCAACUCUGAAACUGCACUCGAUACUGCUUUGCUUGAGGACUGGAGAGGAGAUUGGAAUUCACGGUGUAGCAGUGAAAUGCGCAGAUAUCGGGAAGAACACCCGUGGCGAAGGCGGUUCUCUGGGACGGUACUGACGCUGAGACGCGAAAGCGUGGGGAGCGAACAGG
rnacentral:rRNA from 1 species